UAUUUAUUGCAAGGGACAAUCAGGGUCAGCUAAUCCAGGACCUGUGGCGAGGCAUGCAGAGCACUGUGGCCAGGCUCUGCUCAUGGUACACACCCCAGGGCCAUGGGCUUUCACCCCAACCCCACCAAACUUGCUAAAAGAGUUAGAUCUAGUCUAGAAGCCUGAGGUAACUCCUAGAUGUAAAAUUCAGGAUAUAGGCCCAAGAAUUCCUGCAUCCGAGCAAGAAGGAAGCCAGACUGUCUGCUUUUACAAACUGAAUUGAGAAUUCACCUUUCCAGUGAGAUUAAAGCUUUGCUGAAGAUUUAUCGCCCCCUGGAGGACAAUACUAUAAUGUAUCUCUGCAGGUACUCUAGAAAGAUGCCCAACUGAACUGAAAUACACGUAUUUUUUCCUAAAGAAUAAGAAAAUCAACCCUUGGCUAAGACAACCCUUUAAAAAGGCUAUGGCGCCCAUUUGUGAUCAGAAUUGAGAAGAAGCGCUCUUCCUGCCAGCUUGUGGGAAUGCUCUGUCCCCCAAGGCCAAUAGUAUAUGCUGCCAAUGAGUGAAAAGAACUAAGACUCAAGUCUGCACAGAAAAAGG
rnacentral:lncRNA from 1 species